AUGAACGCUGGCGGCGUGCCUAAUACAUGCAAGUCGAGCGAACAGACGAGGAGCUUGCUCCUCUGACGUUCGCGGCGGACGGGUGAGUAACACGUGGAUAACCUACCUAUAAUACUGGGAUAACUUCGGGAAACCGGAGCUAAUACCGGAUAAUAUAUUGAACCGCAUGGUUCAAUAGUGAAAGACGGUUUUGCUGUCACUUAUAGAUGGAUCCGCGCCGCAUUAGCUAGUUGGUAAGGUAACGGCUUACCAAGGCAACGAUGCGUAGCCGACCUGAGAGGGUGAUCGGCCACACUGGAACUGAGACACGGUCCAGACUCCUACGGGAGGCAGCAGUAGGGAAUCUUCCGCAAUGGGCGAAAGCCUGACGGAGCAACGCCGCGUGAGUGAUGAAGGUCUUCGGAUCGUAAAACUCUGUUAUUAGGGAAGAACAAAUGUGUAAGUAACUAUGCACGUCUUGACGGUACCUAAUCAGAAAGCCACGGCUAACUACGUG
rnacentral:rRNA from 1 species